ensembl:snRNA U6 U6 spliceosomal RNA
GUGCUCACUUCGACAGCAAAUAUACUAAAAUUGGAAUGAUACAGAGAAGAUGAGCAUGGUCCCUGCACAAGGAUGACAUGCAAAUUUGUAAAGCGUUCUAUAUUUUU